rnacentral:rRNA from 1 species
AGAGUUUGAUCCUGGCUCAGGAUGAACGCUGGCGGCGUGCUUAACACAUGCAAGUCGAACGGGAAACCUUUUAUUGAAGCUUCGGCAGAUUUAGCUGGUUUCUAGUGGCGGACGGGUGAGUAACGCGUGGGUAACCUGCCUUAUACAGGGGGAUAACAACCAGAAAUGGUUGCUAAUACCGCAUAAGCGCACAGGACCGCAUGGUCCGGUGUGAAAAACUCCGGUGGUAUAAGAUGGACCCGCGUUGGAUUAGCUAGUUGGCAGGGUAACGGCCUACCAAGGCGACGAUCCAUAGCCGGCCUGAGAGGGUGAACGGCCACACUGGGACUGAGACACGGCCCAGACUCCUACGGGAGACAGCAGUUAGGAAUAUUCGUCAAUGGGGGAAACCCUGAACGAGCAAUGCCGCGUGAGUGAUGAAGGUCUUUGGAUUGUAAAACUCUGUUGUAUGGGAAGAAUGUUGGUAUUAGGAAAUGAAUGCCAAGUGACGGUACCAUGCGAGAAAGCCCCGGCUAACUACGUGCCAGCAGCCGCGGUAAUACGUAGGGGGCGAGCGUUAUCCGGAUUUAUUGGGCGUAAAGCGUGCGUAGGCGGUUUAUUAAGUUUAAGAUAAAAGCCCGGGGCUUAACUCCGGUUCGUCUUAAAAACUGGUAAACUUGAGUAUGGUAGAGGCAAACGGAAUUUCUAGUGUAGCGGUGAAAUGCGUAGAUAUUAGAAGGAACACCAGUGGCGAAGGCGGUUUGCUGGGCCAAAACUGACGCUGAGGCACGAAAGCGUGGGUAGCAAAUAGGAUUAGAUACCCUGGUAGUCCCAGCCGUAAACGAUGAGCACUAAGUGUGGGGAGAAUUCUCUUUCCGUGCCAACGCUAACGCAUUAAGUGCUCCGCCUGGGGAGUACGGUCGCAAGACUAAAACUCAAAGGAAUUGACGGGGGCCCGCACAAGCAGCGGAGCAUGUGGCUUAAUUCGAAGCAACGCGAAGAACCUUACCAGGGCUUGACAUAUAGGUGAAGCUGUGGAAACACAGUGGCCGAAAGGAGCCUAUACAGGUGGUGCAUGGCUGUCGUCAGCUCGUGUCGUGAGAUGUUGGGUUAAGUCCCGCAACGAGCGCAACCCCCGUCGCAUGUUACCAGCAUUUAGUUGGGGACUCAUGCGAGACUGCCGGCGUUAAGCCGGAGGAAGGUGGGGACGACGUCAAGUCAUCAUGCCCCUUACGUCCUGGGCUGCACACGUGCUACAAUGGUCGGUACAAUGAGCUGCCACCUCGCGAGAGGGAGCGAAUCUCUUAAAGCCGGCCCCAGUUCGGACUGCAGGCUGCAACUCGCCUGCACGAAGUCGGAGUUGCUAGUAAUCGCGGAUCAGCACGCCGCGGUGAAUGCGUUCCCGGGCCUUGCACUCACCGCCCGUCA